ACAGAUACAGCACUGACACCUGAAAUACGGGUGUAGCCUUAUUCCUGAAGAGUUUUGUUUUGGUAGUGGCUGCUGCUACUGCCCUUUUCCUGCCCAUUGUCUUUUUGUGUGAUUUUUACUAAACCAAACAUCAGUGCACCGUGAAAAAUAUAUAGCUGUGAAAUAAAAUUGUAAAUAUUUUUAUUUUACCUAUUAGAUCUUGAGCCCCCUUUGUACAGUUUUUGCACAUUAGCAGGUGCCUUCCUGUUUGAACAGCAUCUCUUAUGAAAUGCUGAUUACAAUGUGAUAGUUGCUGUUCUGGGCAGAGGUUCCUGCUGAGUUACGGUAAUUGCUCAGGGUAUUAACAGCAAUAAAAGCUAAAGCUUCUGUUGUCAGUAUUGGUCUAAUACAACACAUUAAAGCUGUCUACAAAAACAGUGUGGGAAGUAGGGUGCAGUAUGUUUAGAUACCUUUUUCUAAAUCACACACUGCUGUUUCUCAUGUUUUUGUUUGAGGUUCUGUAUUCAGCACAUCCUCAUAGUUGUUGUGUAAGAACAACAGAUGAUGAAAUAUUUGCUCUGGGAAUAAAUAUAGUUAUUUCCACUUUCUUAUUUUCUUACUUCUCUGUACUUAUUAAAAGAUAAUCAGAUGAGAAUGAUCAAGAUUUUUUUCUCCUUCAGUUUACUGAAGCUAUAAGGGUAAAAGAUGAGCAGAAGGAAAUAAGCUUUGUUUCUCUGCAAGAUUUUAAGAAGAAGAAGAAAUUGAAUUUGAUUUUGCUCCCAGCAAAUAACAUGACUAGUGGAGCAAUGAAAGAAACAAAAACCCGAUGGCUUUGAAAUGUUGAGUAAUUAGGUAUUUUAUCUUUUUAAUAAUCAUAAAAUAAAAAGUUGGUUUGGGGUUAUAACUGAGAGAUGUGUUUCAUUGUUUAUACUAUAAAUGAGAAUCCCUUUGCCGUGGUGAAAUUUUGUGUAUAAAGGAUGUUUGGGCACUGUAAAAGUAACUGGGUGAAUGCCCGUUAUGAUACACAUUAGUAGGUACGAUUACGAUGUUAAAGAUAACAAAAGCUAAUGAGGUGAGGCGUGGGGAGGAGGAGACAUCUACCGCCAGUCACCGAGGCUAGAAUAAUGGCAGUUUAUUGAACCAAGGGCCUUGGGUCACAUUUCAUGAAAUAGCUCUUUAUGAGAUAAGGAGAAGGGUCUUUGUAUUUUAUGUGGGGACCUGGGUUGUCUUCUCUACUCUGCUGCUGCAUUCCCUUAGAAUCGAGUCUGUGGUAUAGAACACAGCUGCCUCUAUGUCCUGAUCCCUGUCUGUUGUCCUGCCAGACUAUUAAACAGCCUCCCCUUUCACUCUCAAAAAUGUCUUGAGUGUGGAUGAUAGGUUGUGUGGUUAUCUUGCCUAUGGGGAUAAGAUCCAUGGCUUCUGCUUUAUUAAUAUUCAACCAUCAAAACACAUAGGGACACCACCGUCCUACACUGGUAGGUGUAUUUCGAGCCCACACUUCCACAGGGUAGGUGGAGGCUAUGAUAGUAUCAAGCAAUUAAGUUCCUAACUGAGCUGAGGUUUUAAAGGUAGGAAUUAUGUAUUCUAUUAGGAAGCUUUCAUUCUCUUAGGAAGUAUUCAUUUGAUUGGGCUUAUUUACAAAUGGAGAGGUCUGAUUUUGUUUGAAUGCGCUGACCAAAGUAUUUAUGGAAGAAGUAGUCAAAAGCAGGAGCUCAGGCAAGCAGAAGAGGCAGGGUAGAAUUAGGGACAGCACGUACUUAGAAGCAGGAGAAAGAAGUAUUGUUGAUUAAAAAGGUCGCUUCGCACUGUAGAUUUCUGAACUAAAUAGUAAAAUAGCUGGCAAAGUCUUUAUUUAGCUUUUUGAAGGACUAGUAAUACGGAAUGACAGUCUGUGAUCCUUGUGGCCUGGCAUGAAAAGAUUAAUUGAGCCAAAUUUCAUUUUUAGAAUUUAGAGUUGAGAAACUGAGAGACUGAGGCAGUUAGUAGAGGGGAAAGGUGAAUAGAUAAUUCAAGAAUUACCCCUAAUAUAUCUGUAAAAAUUAAAAAUAAAAGAAUUACCUGAAUGACAAGAGCAAGGUUAGGGCUGGCAUAGGCAAGCUCACUUGCUAGGGUAGGAAACUGGGAAAAGCAGAGGACAGGCAAGCUGUGGGAAGAGCAGCAGACUGCCAAGGGAAGUGUGUGCACAGCCGUCUCUUCCUUGACUCUCCUGGGUCCCACUGCACUGAUGUUCUUCCCACAGGAUUCUUAGAUUAUCCUGUUCGCUCUGAGUAAAGAGCUCUCACCUGGCUAGCUUGAGUGGCUCUUCAUGAAUUGCAAUGGAAAGAGCCUAGAUUAAUAUCUCCAACCCUUCUGCUGCCCUCCCAUAGCUUUUAUAGGUCACCAUGUGACUUACUUACUUUUAGGGUUUUGUUCUGAAUGAGUCAAUAUCAUUGAGGAGCAUUAUAUCACAGAGUGCAAAUAGAAAUGUUUUGAGCUAUAAUCAGGGACUUCCACAGGCAUUUACUGAAUACCUGCUUUGUGUUCUUUAUGGAACUCAGCACCUAAAGGGAGACUGAAGAAGUAUAAAAUAUUGUUCAUUCCCUCAGUGAUCUUAGAUUCUAAGUGGACAGACAACUUGUGGCAUUAUUGGAUGUCAGUCUUCUUUGGAGAACAUUCUGAAUAGGAUUGACAAGAAGGGCAUUCACUUUAGUUCUAAAAGAAAUGAUUUGUUUGUUUACGAAAAACAAUAAAAUCAUAUUUUUAUAGAAACCCAGGCAUUAAGAAGUAUAAUACAAAUAAUUUGCCAUCUGGAAGUAAUCAUGGAGUCCGAGAAUGCUAACAAGGUCAUGGAGACACUAAUUUUCAUUCAGUAUAGCACUGAGGAGUUCCUUGUAUAUACAACAGCAGAAGGGCUGCAGAGAAAUUAACUUCAUCUUAGGUUCCACUUGCCAUUGAGAUUGCCCGCCCUCCACCAAAUUUAUUUUCUUAAAAAUGGAUUAAAAGUAACAAGAAGCUAUUUCUCCUCCUUUGUAAUAAAAACUUACUGAGGAUGAGUAAUUAUGUCUUAUUAGGACCAUAGAUGAUGCUGGGAGAUAUCAUCAGGUAGCGACUUAAUUACACAUACUCUUUGUGCACACAUUCAAGUGUACACACAGUGACUUAAUUAUCAGACUUACGCAUUAUCGACUGCAUUUCUUUAGUCCCAGCUUGGCUGUUACCACUUAGCACAGAAGGUGUAGUGUAUGGACAUUCACGGAAUGGGCAUUCGUUUAAAAGGAGCUUUAUACAGUUAAACUUGAACUUUGAGAAAAUGGCAGGGCCUUUCUUUGGCCACCCAAAUGCCCUAUUUCCUUAUUAAGUACAUGUCUUAUGUCUCUAGCUUCUGUCAUUAGAAACUCUUCUGAAAGCUCAGUUUGUCCACUUGUGAUUCAUUUUACGGUUGUAUCUGACACCAUUGCAUUUCUGUUUUUAUUAUAAGCAUAGCAUGUUGCUGUUAACUGUGCUUUGGCACUAUCUCACAUCUUAACUUGGUUAUUUUGAGGGGCACACACCAUACUGCUUUAUGAUAGGACCUGGAUUAAAGUGUGGAGCCAGAAG
rnacentral:lncRNA from 1 species